rnacentral:hammerhead_ribozyme from 1 species
AUCCAGCUGACGAGUCACAAAUAGGACGAAACGCGCGUCACUCUGGAU